GGAAAUGCCUGAUAACAUACAUCUGCAGUUAUUUGUGGCAAAAGACAAGGCAAAUAGGCAAAUAUUCGGUAUUACAAAAAAUGCACAGAUUUCAAAGGACAAGUAUAGGUGGAUUUACAUGCCCACAUCUUUUGAGGUCUUUCUUCUUUGAGAGGAAAGGGAGAGACCCUGGUUAGGCCAGAAAUCCAUGGAGAGGAGUUUUCUUCCUCUUCUGCCUUCCACUGUGACCAAUGAGUGGAACAAGAAUGAUGACCGGCUACUGCAGGCCGUGGAGAAUGGAGAUGUGGAGAAGGUGGCCUCACUGCUCGGCAAGAAGGGGGCCAGUGCCACCAAACACGACAGUGAGGGCAAGACCGCUUUCCAUCUUGCUGCUGCAAAAGGACACGUGGAAUGCCUCAGGGUCAUGGUUACACAUGGUGUGGAUGUGACAGCCCAAGAUACUACCGGACACAGCGCCUUACAUCUCGCAGCCAAGAACAGCCACCAUGAAUGCAUCAGGAAGCUCCUUCAGUCUAAAUGCCCAGCCGAAAGUGUUGACAGCUCUGGGAAAACAGCUUUACAUUAUGCAG
rnacentral:sRNA from 1 species